rnacentral:lncRNA from 1 species
CAGGUAAAGUCAUGUUGAGGUUCCUCAGAUCCAUCUUGUUCUAAGUUCUUGGAUGAUCGAAGGACUGAUCCAACCGGAUUGCAGGAUGAGACCUUGAUGGGCCAAGCAUCAUCUGUUGACGUCUCGACAAAGGAGAACCUGCUUGAGCUGGUGAAGAUCGGUGAAAGUCUUCUGAAGAAACCAGUCUCCAGGGUCAACCUUGAGACAGGAGACUUCGAGGAGGUCAAGGGAGAAGGAACCAACGCCGAAGCACUCACUCGCUUGGCUAAGAUACUCUCCGAGGAGAGGCACCGUCGGAAAGGCGUAAUGGCCUUAAACUGAGCGAAUAAUGGCUGGAAUACUUCCGUCUCUCUUUCUCUACAUCGAUCUCUAUCUCUA